AUUUAAAUAAUUUAAAAAAAAAUAUUGAUUUGUGGUGUCAAAAAUAUGAUAUAAUCAUUUUAAAUU
rnacentral:tRNA from 1 species